rnacentral:misc_RNA from 1 species
UUGGUUAGCACGGUUUGGUUAGAUCCCUGCCCCGUGCAGCGACGUUCGACCGUACGUUCCUCUUCAAUAUUCGGCCCAAGCAAGCUUGGCCGGCAAUUUGGUUUCCUGUGUUGUCUACCUACUAACGACGGUAUUCGGUUGCCAAAAUUUUCCUCGUUCGUCUAAUGCUUCCCGUUCUUUCGGUGCGGCUGCGGGUGAACCCUUAAGCGAAGUUUGUGCUCCCCGGCACGACACGGAAUCCGUUGUUUUUGCCGUGGCGCACUAAUUCUCGCUCGGGCUCUGGGGAUGCGGAAUACGCAUGGGGCAAGGGGUCUUCGGGCCGUAUUGUCCAACGAAAGCUAAACGCUCACACAAACGACGGCCGGUGCCRCGUCGGCGCUCGCGUCGCGUUGCCCGGCGUCAGUGAGGAAUGCUACCUGGUUGAUCCUGCCCAGUAGUCAUAUGCUUGUCUCAAAGAUUAAGCCAUGCAUGUGUAAGUACA